UGUAGCCAAGCUACCAUGUAACCCACCCAUAAGUAAACUCGGGCUCAACUCAACGAGUUCGGAUGCCUAGUUACAUCUUACGAACUCAGACUCAACUCAACGAGCUCGGAACUCAAAUAUCUUAGUGACAUGUCCUUGUAUUCUAAUCAAUUCCCAAGGUUCAAACGGGCUUUUUCCUCGAUCACACAUCUUUGCCGUCUUCUACGGAAUAUCGAAACCGAUACUCGGUAGCAAUUCAUAUUUAACAAGUAGCACACAUAAUUUG
rnacentral:lncRNA from 1 species